CCCUUCCAGGACUCCUACGGGAGGCAGCAGUGGGGAAUAUUGCACAAUGGGCGAAAGCCUGAUGCAGCAACGCCGUGUGAAUGAAGAAGGCCUUAGGGUCGUAAAAUUCUGUCCUAAGGGAAGAAAAAGAUGACGGUACCUUAGGAGGAAGCCCCGGCUAACUACGUGCCAGCAGCCGCGGUAAUACGUAGGGGGCAAGCGUUAUCCGGAAUUAUUGGGCGUAAAGAGUACGUAGGUGGCUAUAUAAGUGCAUGGUGAAAGGCAGAGGCUUAACCACUGUUAGCCUUGCGAACUGUAUAGCUUGAGUGCAGGAGAGGGAAGCGGAAUUCCUAGUGUAGCGGUGAAAUGCGUAGAUAUUAGGAGGAACACCAGUGGCGAAGGCGGCUUUCUGGACUGUAACUGACACUGAGGUACGAAAGCGUGGGGAGCAAACAGGAUUAGAUACCCUGGUAGUCCACGCCGUAAACGAUGAGCACUAGGUGUCGGUAUCGUAAGAUAUCGGUGCCGAAGUUAACGCAUUAAGUGCUCCGCCUGGGGAGUACGCACGCAAGUGUGAAACUC
rnacentral:rRNA from 1 species